rnacentral:rRNA from 1 species
UUUUUUAAUUGGGGACUGGAAUGAAAGGUAGAAACUUUAAAGGAAUGUUUUUAUAAAUUAUUUUGAAUUUAAAUUAAAAAUAAAAAUGUUUUUAUGAAUUUUUGGGACGAUAAGACCCUAGAAGUUUUUAAAAUUGAUUUUUAAUUGGGGUAAUUAACGAAAAUAAUAAUUUUUAUUAAAUAAAAUUACAAAAUUUAUAAAUUACUCUAGGGAUAACAGCGUUAUUUAAUUAGAAAGUUCUUAUUAAUAAUUAAGAUUGCGACCUCGAUGUUGAAUUAAAA